rnacentral:rRNA from 1 species
UACGUAGGGUGCAAGCGUUGUCCGGAAUUAUUGGGCGUAAAGAGCUCGUAGGCGGUUUGUCGCGUCGGGAGUGAAAUCCACUGGCUUAACUGGUGGCUUGCUUUCGAUACGGGGCAGACUGGAGGUAUGCAGGGGAGAACGGAAUUCCUGGUGUAGCGGUGAAAUGCGCAGAUAUCAGGAGGAACACCGGUGGCGAAGGCGGAUCUCUGGGCCGAU